CUCUAGGUGGCGCCAAUAGAACGAGGGCGGAAGGAGUGGUCCGUGUUCUAGCCCGGAGAUCCCCUCGCAUCCUUGUCUUUCUUCCCUUUCUGCUGCGACCUUGGAAGCCACGCCCUGAAGAAGACAGAGGCCCGCUGUGGGUAGAGCCUGGGUCCCUGAAUGACUUCGUGGCAGAGAAGCACCGCAUGCUCCAAAUGCACCUGCGACGUCAGUGAGCAGCUUAUUUUCUGCUGGGUUACUCCCGUUGCGCUUCCACUCCACGGAGGAGGUUUUGCAUUUCAUCUGGUCGUGCUGAUGUGGACGUGGCUUCUCCCCUCCCUGUGCAGACGUUUCCGAUAUCCUGGUCCCGCUGGGUGGUGCAGGGUGGGUCCGUGCACAGAUCCGGAAAUCACACCUGCUGUUCCUUAAAGCCCCAUCCUCCGGGCCAGGAGCUUAUGGCCCUCAGGCCACAUCUGGUCCACUGCCUGUCUUUGUAAAUAAACUUUGAUUGGAAUGCA